rfam:Salmo salar isolate Sally breed double haploid chromosome ssa03, whole genome shotgun sequence.
GUUGGAACAUUUUGUAAGUUGCUCUGUAUAAGAGCGUCUGCUAAAUGACGUAAA